rnacentral:rRNA from 1 species
UGAGGAACAUGACCUUCGGCGGGGGAUAGCCGGCCCAACGGCCGGGUAAUACCGCGUACGACCUUUUGGGGACAUCCCCGAUUGGUGAAAGCAGCAAUGCGCCGAUGGAGUGCCUCGCGGCCUAUCAGCUAGUUGGUGAGGUAACGGCUCACCAAGGCGACGACGGGUAGCUGGUCUGAGAGGAUGGCCAGCCACAUUGGGACUGAGACACGGCCCAGACUCCGUACGGGGAGGNAG